AUUGAACGCUGGCGGCAGGCCUAACACAUGCAAGUCGAGCGAGCGGCGGACGGGUGAGUAAUUUAUGGGGAUCUGCCCGAUCGAGGGGGCUAACUACUGGAAACGGUGGCUAAUACCGCAUACUAUCGGAUGAACCCAUAUGGGAUUAGCUAGUUGGUGGGGUAAAGGCUCACCAAGGCGACGCUCCCUAGCUGGUCUGAGAGGAUGAUCAGCCACACUGGGACUGAGACACGGCCCAGACUCCUACGGGAGGCAGCAGUGGGGAAUAUUGGACAAUGGGCGAAAGCCUGAUGCAGCCAUGCCGCGUGUAUGAAGAAGGCCUUAGGGUUGUAAAGUACUUUCAUCGGGGAGGCGUUACCCACAGAAGAAGCACCGGCUAACUCCGUGCCAGCAGCCGCGGUAAUUC
rnacentral:rRNA from 1 species